UACGGGGGGGGCAAGCGUUGUUCGGAAUUACUGGGCGUAAAGGGCUCGUAGGCGGCCAACUAAGUCGGAUGUGAAAUCCCCAGGCUUAACCUGGGAACUGCAUCCGAUACUGGAUGGCUUGAAUCCGGGAGAGGGAUGCGGAAUUCCAGGUGUAGCGGUGAAAUGCGUAGAUAUCUGGAGGAACACCGGUGGCGAAGGCGGCUCACUGGCCCGGAACUGACGCUGAGGUGCGAAAGCGCGGGGAGCAAACAGG
rnacentral:rRNA from 1 species